rnacentral:ribozyme from 1 species
AAAUGAACAAAAUGCAAAAUACUAAAAAUCUAAACAUCUAAAUUUUCAUCCUGGUCAAACAGUUUAUUUCUUUUCCUUCUUCUUUUCCUUCUUUUCUUUCUUUUCUUUCUUUUCCUUCUUCUCACUCUUGGACU